GGGGCUAUAGCGCAGCUGGUAGCGCAUCUGCUUUGCAAGCAGAGGGUCGCCGGUUCGAACCCGGCUAGCUCCACGA
rnacentral:tRNA from 2 species